AAGAGCUGUGUGCAAGGCAAAGGGCACAGCAGAGAGUGGGGAUUAGGGAAAACAUGCUGCUACUCACCAACUGAAGGCUGUUUCCACACAGGAAUCUAAACUCAGUACUGGCAGAACUAAUUUUUGAGGAGUCAGGAAUUACUAUUUUAAUGUAAACUAUGCUGCUUUAUAAAAUACAGUUUAGGCUAACCCUCUACCAGUUGGCAAUCUUUGGUGUGUGUAGCCAGACACCUGGCCUGUGGCUUCACGUUUCAGAUGAGGAGGGAGAGGACUCCAGGGACCAGAACGGGAAGCACUUACUUGACAGAGAGGGAGAAGUCCCCGGGGGCACUCUCACUCUCUCGGAUGAGAAAGGCCCCGUCAUGCCGCUGUUUGCUAAGCAUUUCUUCUGCCUUGGCUCUGGGGAUUUUGCCAAAAAACCACCUAAGGAAGGAAGACAAGCCAGUCAACAUCUGCUUCCCCACAAAGAGACGGGAUAUCCAGCCUCCGAAAUAUCCUGGGAGAUACGAUCUGUACUUAAUUUUCUGCACAAACUAUGGAAAAGGUAUCUUUUAGGAAAAUGGGCCUCACCUCCAAGGAACAGAAUAACCACAGAUGCUCUGCAAGGAGAAGAAAAGAUAGGAUUCCUGGCAUUUUAAGACAGACAGAGGGACAGAGACAGAGACACAGGCAGAGGGAGAAGCAGGCU